rnacentral:rRNA from 1 species
UACGUAGGGACCAAGCGUUGUCCGGAAUUAUUGGGCGUAAAGAGCUCGUAGGCGGCCUGUCGCGUCGGCUGUGAAAACUCAGGGCUCAACCCUGAGCCUGCAGUCGAUACGGGCAGGCUAGAGUCCGGCAGGGGAGACUGGAAUUCCUGGUGUAGCGGUGAAAUGCGCAGAUAUCAGGAGGAACACCAGCGGCGAAGGCGGCGCUCGGGGCCGGUACUGACACUGAGGAGCGAAAGCGUGGGUAGCAAACAGG